GAGCCUUUGCCCGUGUGGGUUUUCUGUGCUUGAUUAAAUCACAGUAUUUCCAAUGGCUCUGAAGCCAGAAAGGGCCAUUAACUCUUCUAGGUUGGCCACCUGCAUAGCACAGAUCCCUGACUCCCACCCAAUGCUUACUGCUUUGUGCGUGAAAGCUUCUGGAUAAGCUGAUUUCCUUGUCGAAGAUGUCUCAUCUUUGUACAAAUAUUGAUAGUGAUGGAAAACACUGUGCCUUGUGGCAAUCUGUCCAGGUGUCUAAGCACCCCUCGCUGCUUAGAAUCUGCCUCCCCAGCAUGCAUGCUGGUAUACCAAAAGAAAAUGACAGCACAAACCCCAGCCAAGCUCCUUGGAAAUGUAAAUAGGCCGGAACCACUGGUGUCCUCUUAACACAGCAUCAAUCACUGCUGGGUGCUGAAAAUGGCAACACGUUCGUUACGGUCCAGGCAACCAUCUCAGGCAGCAGAUGGAGAAGGUUUAAGACCUAGUAGCACUGUUUCAGAGACCAGCUCUGUAAUUAUCACAAGGCUCUGUGGCAUCAUUUGGAAACCCUGCAUAUACCCCUUACUCAUGCUGGCUCUUACCUGAGCUUCCUGUGCACCUGCAGUGAAGUAGUAGACAGUAAAGCAAGGCAAGUCCUUAGCUUCUGGUGGGGUCUUCUCCAGAAAAAUUGACCCAUUUACCUUCUCCAAGCAGACUGUUUUUCCAAAAAUAGUAGUCUUUGGAGGCUGUUGCUGCAGGUGAAGUGUUGCAGCUAGUGAUAUAUCCAUCAGCCACAAGAAUCGAAUUGAAUCGGAUCCAUCCAUACCGGGGGAUUCCCAAGCCACAGAGACUUCUCCCAGAAGACAGGGGAACACUGGGGACCAUGUUGGGCUGUCCAUUGGAAUGGUGGUGGUGUGAGAUGCUUUGUUCGGGUGAUGAAGUGUACGGUGGCUUUUAGCUGUAGUAUCUUCUGACCAAUGAAUACUGGCUUUACCAACCAAAGAGUAAGAUGGAGUAUGCUGCUGGUUUCAAGGCAAAGGGAGCAAUUCUUAUGAGGAGGAAGGACUGUAGUAAAAACUGUGUUGUGCUCUGAUUUGCCUUUCUUGAUGGCUCCCAUUAGGAAAUGAGCAUGGAUGUGACUUCUUGGGUGUGCCAUCUUUGUGGAGAAAAAGCAACGAUCACUCAUCAGUGGAUAGACAUACACGCGGCCUGUUUCAGAUCUCUCUUGGCCAGGUCUACAUGGCAAAUACCUCACUGCAUUGCUCUCUUGAUCAGCGGGUAGGUAAUAUGUGAUCCUGAUGGACACAAGAGGCUAGAAGACAACUAUUUGAAGGUUAUAUUGCAGCUGUAGUUAUACCAUAUAUAUACCAUAUAGCAACACCGCUUUCGGAGCUUGUUUUAUUUGAAUAGCUCUAGGGAUGAAUUUUGGUCUGUGUUCAGGACAACACGCUGUUUCAUUAUCCUGACUGCCUCAUGUAGGAGCAUGCCAAUUCUUGGAUGUCCUUGUGGGAUGUUUGUUUCUCAGCCAAUUUCUGUUCCAAAGCUUGCUUUUUCCAAGAACACCAGGUGGUUACUGAGUCACUGCUUUUCAGGUUACUGUCUCUUCCAUGCCAUGGAGCAGCCAGGGGGAUGUGAUGCAGCUGCCCAGAGGAGCUGCUGAGGAUUUGUAGUCACUGAAGGCUACUCUGUACUAGAGGAGAUUAAAAGCUGUGGUGGUGGUAAUGCAACUGAAGGAUCAAUCUAGCCUGAGUGGAACCACAGCUUGGAGCAGUGAAAGAUCUCUUGCCAGUGUAGAAGGAUAUUUGAACCACCUCUGUCUUUUUAAGAUGUUUAUCAUAUGUUGCCUCCAGGGAGGGUGGUU